AUGCUUGCUUUGGCAACACAUAUAUUAAAUUGGAAUAUAACAGAGAAGAUUAGCAUGGCCCCUGCUCAAGGAUGACAUGCAAAUUCAUGAAGUGUUCCAUAUUAAA
ensembl:snRNA U6 U6 spliceosomal RNA